GACUUUACAACAGCAUCCAUUGACCCCUCCCCCUCACCUAUCUCAUCCCUUACAUGACCAGUGGUAAAAUGACUACUGGGCUAUUGUAAUAGUGACACAGGAGUGUCUAAAAACCAACAGCAGCAGCAGCAGCAACAUCUUAGAAGAAAGGUCCCCAGGGAAUCAAGUGGGAGAAGUAGGAAAAGGCAACCAACGAUGUAGCGGGAGGUGGAGCGUACAGCCCAGAACGUGAGGGGGUGAUGUCAUCUGUCCCCGCCGUCUUGCCAUACCUGAUGCGGAAGCAUGCAGGGAGAGGAUAUGGGCGUCACAGCGGGAGGUAGAGCGGACAUUCCACAGCGUAGGGGGUGACGUCAUCCAGCCCCGCUCCCCCGCCUCACCUGACUGAGAUUGUGCACAUGGAGAGGGCACCGGAGCAAUUAAGAAGGAGGUAUUGAGCAGUCAUAAUUUGCAAAAGAUCCAUCCGGAAGUGAACAAGCCAGAGUCGCGGGCAAAACGCAUCUUCUGCCGCUGCCGCACCACUGCCUCUGGGAACUCACGGGUAACUCUCCUCCACCUGUACCGAACACUGGGCAUACCUCAUCGGCAACUCAGGUCCCUGCUCCCGGAAGUGGAACCUGCCAGGACCCUGAGCAGUCAGCCAGAAGUCGGCUGGGGCGAAUUGGCCACAGCAAGCAUCUUUCUCACUGAAAAUGUGCAUCUUAUUCGUAUACAUAAAACAACUGGAAGUGACAAAACUACUCUGCUAGAUUACACUGAUCAGUUUGAUGAGUAACAUCUGUAUAUUUGUGUGCAAAUAAUUCUGAAUCUGUGUAAGAAGUGCUGCUAUGCAGCGGCUACAGUUUAUUCUCAUAACAAGUUCUAUUGUACUUCAUCUGUUACUUUGCAAGUGUUUUAAAUUAAUUCCUAUAUAAAUUAAAGUCGCAGCCCAAUGUCUCUAAUAUACUUUGAUUGUUUCGCUGCGUUUGUGAUGCAAAUAAGAUGUAAAAUAUGAAGAAAAAUAUGGUAUGCUACAUCUCUUGGAGAUGCUCAGUUGCAU